rnacentral:rRNA from 1 species
UACGUAGGUGGCGAGCGUUAUCCGGAUUUACUGGGUGUAAAGGGUGUGUAGGCGGGGAUGCAAGUCAGAUGUGAAAACUAUGGGCUCAACUCAUAGCCUGCAUUUGAAACUGUAUUUCUUGAGGGUCGGAGAGGUAAGUGGAAUUCCCGGUGUAGCGGUGAAAUGCGUAGAGAUCGGGAGGAACAUCUGUGGCGAAGGCGACUUACUGGACGAUUACUGACGCUGAGACACGAAAGCGUGGGGAG